UGUCCUAACGUUGUUCGGAAUCACUGGGCUUAAAGGGCGCGUAGGCGGUCCGUCAAGUCAGGGGUGAAAUCCUGCAGCUUAACUGUAGAAGUGCCUCUGAUACUGACGGUCUUGAGGGAGAUAGGGGUGUGCGGAACUUCCAGUGGAGCGGUGAAAUGCGUUGAUAUUGGAAGGAACGCCGGAGGCGAAAGCGGCGCACUGGAUCUCUUCUGACGCUGAGGCGCGAAAGCUAGGGGAGCAAACGGG
rnacentral:rRNA from 1 species